GUGCUACUCGAGCGAGCUGCUAACUGAAUAAGGAGACGGAGAUUCACGGAAGAAGAGAGUGUGGAGGUUGGAGGAGGCGCCAUUUUGUGCUGAUGUGCUGUCACUCCGAGAAAAUAUGUACCAGUCAGGGGAAAACCAGCUGUGCAAUAAGCACACAGAGGAGGAAGCCGUCUCAUGAUGCAUGGAAAAUAUUUGGCUGACUUUGUAUUAAUAUGGUGCUGGGAUGCAGUGAACGCCUUAAACAGCCCCAUAUUUCUGUUUAGGGAGAAAAAUCCGAAUUCCUGAACUGGACACAACUCUGCAAGGUUGCAAAUACAAUUCGAUUAUAAUAAUUUAAAAUUACCUUAAAUCAUAUUAACACUACCUUUUUAUGGACAGUAAAAAUUGCAACAUAAUAAAGUGUUGUAGUAUUUACCCACAUUUUUGAGGUAUUAAAUCGCAUUGUGCGCGUGCACCAGAAAGUAUCCGGUCUCCCCUGGAGCUCAAAGCGAUGCAGACACAGGAAGUUAACCAACAACCUCUCACUGACUAUCAACAGCAACUUCUAUAACAUCAAGAAACUGCCAGCAGAGGUAAAAUGAUUACUGAGAAACUCUAACUCAAGUAAAAAGAUGUUGCAGAGGAUGAACACACUAGAACAACCAUUAUGAGGCCUCAUCUAUCACACACAAACUUUCAACAGCCCAUGAAAUGAUCAGACUCGGUUUACUUCACAUUUGUGCUGCAGGACUUUGCUCUGUGAACAUUUACGUCCAAUUAUUCACGUUUCCAAAGAGCUUGAGGCGCUGCGAAAACCACAGCAUUGUCUCUUUAUUUCUUCUACUUCCUUAUCUCCUCAUCUAUGUAUUACCAUGAAGCUCUGAUAAAACACGUGAAACCAAUUAUUAACUACCAGCAACAACAGGGUAUGUUUAUCUAGAUGUCUCUUUCUUUAUUAAUGCCGGUUCCUCAUUACUGAUUCAACUUGUCUGAAAACAAGAUUUUCCAAUAUUACUGGUGAGAAAAUCUGCUAGUGGAGCUAGUACGUUUUAAUCAGUGUUAAAAUUUUAUUGACUUAAAAUGAUGUUGCUGAAAAGUUAUGUUAGUGUACUUUAAAUAAGACAAAAACUAUUAUAUCUGCACCAGAAGUUGGGCCAAAAUACCUGGUUAGAUUUUGUAUUUGCAUUGGAGUGUUUCAACGUUGAAUAAUGCAAACUCCAAAACGCACACGCACACAAAGGCAACAUAAAAACACAGCAAGCAGAAAAAUACUGCAAUCAAAAUCUACAAUAAAAAAACUAAUACAAAUUAAAAAAACACUGCAACAACAA